GAGCGCAAUAGAUAUCGCGUUGCACUUCAAAUCCAAAGGUCGUGGGCUCAACUCCCACCUGAAAUA